CGCCCAGCUGGGGCAGGGUCGGUGAAACCGCCUCACCAUGCCGCGCCAAAGCCCUUUCUGAUCCCCUCGCCCCACUGGCAGCCCUCACAGCUGGGCUGGGACCCUACAGACACCUCACGGCCAUAUCGCCCAGCCGACCCCACCCUAGAGUCACUGUGGAUGGCGGGCGCUUGAGCCCAUUCCACUUUCAGAAAUGGAGCUUCGGGGAGGUGGUCAAGACUCUCCCAAAGAACUCAGGUGCUCCUGAGGCUGCCUGGACCCCAUCCUACCUGCAGAUUGUUCCAGAAACAACUGCUGAGACCCAUCGCUCCAACUUACUCAGUACCUGCGUUCCACACAGGGUCUCAUUUCACCGUCUAACCCUCUGCAGCCUGGUCUAACCCCAGAUGGCAGCUAGUCACUGAGGAUGUGCAGUGGGGCCAGUCCAAACUGAGAUGUGCUGGAAGUGGGAAACGCACACCAGAUUCUGAAGACUUAGUGCCCCCUAGGGGCACUCUUUACAAAAAGAGUAAAAUCUCAUUGAUCUUUUUUUUUUUCAUUGACAUCAGUUUCUUUUAAUUAAUCACUGAUGAUCUUUUUAUACUGAUUACAUGUUGAAAUGGAAUGUUUUCCAUUUUGGAAUGUUUUUGGACUAUCUUGGGUUCAAUAAAAUAUAUGAUUAAAAUGAA